UGUUAUCCGUGGCCCUUUUUCUGUUGUACUACUGGAAUUUGUAAUUAGCAGUGCAAUAUUAAAAGGGCAUUGGCUGACA
rfam:Xenopus tropicalis strain Nigerian Chr01_contig_3905, whole genome shotgun sequence.